CUUGUUCUCUGCUGCAUCUCCAGUGUCCAGAACAGCACCUGGCACACAGCAGGCACUCGAUGAACAUUUGAAGAAUGAACAAAUGGGUGUGUGUGUGUGUGUGUGUGUGUGUGUGUUUGGCCAGUUUGGAGAGCUCUGAUCCCUCUUGGCUGCUGUCCCUGGGUAUAUUGGCCAGCUCAGGACCAGGGUGUGUGGGGGCAAAUUUUGGGGAUCCAGAUGGAGGGCCAAGAGCACCAGGAGGACCCUCCAGGCUUGGGCUGAGGAAUGCUAAGUGAACUGAGGUGGUCCAAGCUACAUGCAGGGAAAUAGCAGAAUGGCUUACAGGGGUGGGCUCAGGGCGCGAGGCACAGGUAUCCCUGGAGGUCAGCUUGGAGGAGGCACUUUCCUCUAAACAUAUGCCUGAUUGGACUAAUAACAAGAGGAGGGUGAUUCCAGAUAGGAGACUUUGUCCUGGGAUAUGAAGGGGGUUUUCUAGAGGGGUGAUGCGGAAGGGGUGUCCCAUUGUAAUUUGGUCACUUUAUACUUCUGGAAUGAUGUGUGUGUGUGUCGACAUAGGAAGACCCUGGACUCUGGGAACUUCAUUCCCCUGUUUGUAGCUGCUCAGAAGGACUUGUGGCGAGUGCCCCACCCCCUCUGAGCCCCGCCCUGAGUCGGGGAAUUCUGUGCCACCCCAAAUCUUCCCCUGGGGCCCCACAGGCAGCUCUGCCCCCUCCUGCCCCAACCUGCCAGAUCCUGCUGCCUGGGCCAGCCUGCCCCUUGGGCCCCACAGAGAAGAAAGACCCAAGAGCCCCCAGGGCUGGGCCCCAUGGGAUAGUAGCUAGGUGCGGCUUCCGCCCCCCUCCAAUCCCACUAAGAUCCAAAGUGGGGGCCUAUUGAGCUGAACUGAGGAAACGGGGGACUCUGGAGGAAUUCUGGAGUGCCCGGUGACCUGGAGACAUCUAAGCAGCCCUCCAGUCUUCUACCUGGGCCUGCUGUGAGUACCCUCUCCCCCCAGCCUUAUUCUUACUGCCUGAGAGGUGAAUGGUGAAGAAAAUGACCCCCUGUCCCAAUUAUAGGACUUCAGAAAUGUUGGGGGUGGGUGGGAAAAAAACUAUACCCCCAAGCAAUGCCCACACAGGUAGAGAAAUUGUCCUUAGGCUGCAGAACCUUGCUGUGGCCUAAUGGUGGUGGUGGUAGUGGUCUGGGGGCCACUGGCCCUGGUCCCAUCUUGGAGAGGGCAAAGUGGCAUCCGGGCAUGCCCAAGGAGGCUGGCUUGGCGGCAGAGGGCACCCCGCCCCUCCUUUGCUGAGUUUUGUUCCCGGCCCCCCACCUGGGCACAGGGCCAGGCCCCAAGGCAGGGCCCCGUCCUGGGGAACAAUGCAGCCGUGUUCCUCCCGGUGGAGGGGAGGUCGGCAGAGGAUGAGGUGGGACAGACACGCAUGCAGGGAAGGAGGGAGGGAUCCAGGGAGGGCCUCUCUCCCAGGGAUACGCCAGGAGCUGGGGAGUUUCCCAGAGGCCCUGGGUGGUUGGGGGAUGGGGAUGCCGGGAAGCCCGUGGCGGGAGGGGACCUAGACGCAGAGAGCCCCCCUGGACUGGGGUCAGAAAGUCUUCAACGGCAGCAGGAGUGGGCUGGGUGGGAUAAAAGGAGGGACUUCCCAAGGCUAAAGAAUGCACGGCGGAACUGGAGAGUGGAGAUUCGUGUUCGGCCGCAUCCCAGAGGACCCAGGCCCAUGCCCUCCCAGGGAAGGGAGGGGUCCGCAGUGACAGUGUGGCAUCUUUCCCCCUCCCUCUCCCCUCCCCUUGUCCACGGUCUCCUGGGUUUCUCUUACCGCUCAGGGGCAGGACUUAGGCCGGGAGGGGUUUCGUGGAUGAGAUGGGGAUUAGGACCCCUGCUCCCGUCCUAUCCCGCCGGGAAGAGCCUUGGCUUAAAAACUGGGUCAGGACCCCGAGUCCAGGACCCA
rnacentral:lncRNA from 1 species